UACGUAGGGUGCGAGCGUUGUCCGGAAUUAUUGGGCGUAAAGAGCUCGUAGGCGGUGUGUCACGUCGGCCGUGAAAACCUGCAGCUUAACUGUGGGCGUGCGGUCGAUACGGGCAUCACUGGAGUUCGGCAGGGGAGACUGGAAUUCCUGGUGUAGCGGUGAAAUGUGUAGAGAUCGGGAGGAACACCGGUGGCGAAGGCGGGUCUCUGGGCAUCUCCUGACGCUGAGGCGCGAAAGCGUGGGGAGCAAACGGG
rnacentral:rRNA from 1 species